GUAACGGGUAUUUGAUAGUCGAGUAACUCGACUAUAGCAUUUUCUCUUGUAUUUUUAAUCAUCCUCGAUCUAAGGAACAAUAAAAGCUAGAAAGCUUAAAUUAAGCAUGCAGGUUCCAAAGACAUGUUGCCAAGCUUAAGUAUGAAAUUUUCAAAAAUACCUUAAGCAAGUGAAAUUACACUUUAAAUGGCAAUUGAUAGUUAGUGCAUACUCAUUUCCAUAUUCUGAUCUAGGAAGGAUAUCAAUUGUGUCUAAUAGAACUAGAUCAAAUGAUAUUUCUGGUGUUUUGGUAAUGGUGUCUGUUUUUGUGGUCUGUAAUUUGUGACCAGUAAUACAUUUUUGUAAUUAUUUCUCGAGGUUCUAGAAAUUCCUGACAACCUUUAGAAGAAACGUCAACAAAUUUUUUAAAUUCGUCGUCUUUUUUUCUAAAAUAUAACUAUGUCAAAAUUUGGUACGGAAUUUGGUAAUUUGAAGUCGACUGUUGUAAAUUUUACGUAGAAAUCUGUAUAUGUGGCAAUACCAGUUAAGUUCCACCUGACCAUUGCCUGUGGUGAGAUUCAGAUGCUGAGAUCCCUCGCGACUACAGAACUGUUCCUGAUGUUAAAGCGGUACCCCUAUCACUAAUGAUGCUUUCCAAGAACUGCUGCUUGUUUUCCGAAAUUUUUCACUACUCCCUCGGUUUCCGUUGACUUUGUAGAUAAAAGCCAAAUAAAUAUGGAAAAUCCAUCCACAACAGCCAAAUUGUGGGUAUAUCGUUUAUUUGUGGGAAUGCCCGAAUAGUUGUUUGCAAAUCAAUAGAAAAUGGAAAAAAAAAAAAUAAUAAAUAAUAAAAUUGCCAACAUUUUUAAAAUUGUAGCCGUAGCUGUCACGCAAGUGCUGCGUUGGAACCGAAAGAAUCUGCAAGGCUAAUUUUAAACUAAACUAGGAUUUCGAUAUUCAUACGGUAGAUGAGCAGAAAGAUGGACAUAAACUGAUAGGCUCGAUAAGUGAUUGUGAUUGAAAACGUAUCUGGGAUAUAGACCGAAACUUGCAAGACAAACGAAAUAUAUUCCAUUUUUAGUUUAAUGAAGUUUUUUGGUGUUCUUAAAGAAGAAAUAUGGAAAGGUAAAUUAAUUUGUCGUAAAAAAAUUUUUUAUUAGGUCUUUGAAGGAGGGAUCGGCAAUAGUUUUUUCGGUGUUCCUUAAUUGCUUAAAUAAUCUAGAUGACACGAUGCCGUUUCACAUAUAUAUUAUAUGGGCAUAUUCUUUUACUUAAUACAGAAGCUAUCUCGUAACCAUUGUUGGAAACUGGGUGUUAAGCCUUAACUUCCUAUUAACGAUCUUUGAAUAUAUUUUUUGAGCUAAUCAAAAACGUUCUCGGUUUUAAUAUCCUCUGAAAAGAUUCAAAAUUCCUGGUAUCACUCAAAUUAUUAGUCCAAAAAAUAAUCUUUAAAGAAAUGUGGAAAAUUAGUGAGAUUUUAAUUUUUGGAAACUUGGAAACGUUUACUUGAAAUAAAUUUCUUGGUGUUUAACUUACGCUCAUUUUUUCAGCUUGUUUGGCUUAAAGCUGAAUGAAGAAUCAAAAAUGAAAAAAAUAACACUUUUUUAAUAUAAAGCUAAAUAAACAAUUAAAGACGAGGAAUAAACUUUGUAUUGAC